AGAGGGUGCGAGCGUUAAUCGGAAUUACUGGGCGUAAAGCGCACGUAGUCGGCUUGCCAAGUCGGGUGUGAAAUCCCCGGGCUCAACCUGGGAACUGCAUCCGAAACUGGCUUGCUAGAGUAUGGGAGAGGGAGGCGGAAUUUCUGGUGUAGCAGUGAAAUGCGUAGAUAUCAGAAGGAACAUCAGUGGCGAAGGCGGCCUCCUGGACCAAUACUGACGAUCAGGUGCGAAAGCGUGGGGAGCAAACAGGAUUAGAUACCCUGGUAGUCCACGCCCUAAACGAUGUCAACUGGAUGUCGGGAGGGUUUGCCUUCCGGUGUCGUAGCUAACGCGUUAAGUUGUCCGCCUGGGAAGUACGGCCGCAAGGUUG
rnacentral:rRNA from 1 species